AAUAGCAUGCAAACAACACAAAAACAUAGGCUCGCUUCUUCCACUGGUCAAAGACAAAACUCCGUUGGAAGAACGCAGCAAUGUUGUCUACCAAAUCAAUUGCGAAGACUGUGAUGCAUGCUAUGUCGGAAUGACAACACAAAAAUUGAAGGCGAGAAUUUCAAAACACAAGUCGAACAUGAAAAAACUACAGACACUCCAACAAGCAGGCCACACAACCAGAGAUGCAGCAAUCGUGGACAUAAUGGAGACAACCGCUCUGGUGAAUCAUGCAGCCAGGGAGAAACACACGUUCAAGCUAGACGAGACGAAAAUACUGGACACAACAAACAAGCCGAGAAAUCUACCGAUACUCGAGAGCUGCCACAUCAACAAUACACCAAACACGAUAAACAAACGAACAGACACGGACAACCUUCACGUCGCGUAUGCGGGGGUUCUGCACUGGCUCCGAAAUAAACAGCAGAGAGCGAGAGGCAGAAACGAAUGAUCAAAACAAACGAACGAAACAAAUUGUAAACACACACCACACUAUAGUUUUAGUCACUCACACCAACAAACACAGUAGUGCACACAAAUACCACAGAAGAAAGCGAAAAGCAAUGGUGAUCGUUCUCGGGUUAGGUACUAAAUUCCGGAGUGCUAACUUUGGACCGAGUUUUCUUUCCGAUAGGGCAUCCGAUUUGGCUGCGAUUGUGCGGGAAAACUCGAUCCAUGCGACAGUUACAGGUUCUGCCGAACCACAGUGGACGAGAACACUGUAACUAUUGAGUCCCUGAAGAAGGUCCCAAACGGACCGAAACGUCGGACAAAAUAACAUAACAGUGUUUUGAUUUUGUCAAGACUGAGAAGCCACAAAACAUUAGUUUCCAAAUACAGUCGAACACACCAACG